CCUACGGGAGGCAGCAGUGGGGAAUCUUGCGCAAUGGGCGGAAGCCUGACGCAGCGACGCCGCGUGCGGGACGAAGGCCUUCGGGUCGUAAACCGCUUUCAGCAGGGACGAGGCCCUCACGGUGACUGUACCUGCAGAAGAAGCCCCGGCUAACUACGUGCCAGAAGCCGCUGUAAUACGUAGGGGGCGAUGGUUAUCCGGAUUCAUGGGGCGUAAAGCGCGCGUAGGCGGCCUGUAAGGUCGGGGGUCAAAUACCGGGGCCAAACCCCGGCCCGCGCCCGAUACCGGCAGGCUUGAGUCUGGUAGGGGGAGGUGGAAUUCCAAGUGUAGCGGUGGAAUGCGCAGAGAUUGGGAAGAACACCGGCGGCGAAGGCGGCCUUCUGGGCCACGACUGACGCUGAGGCGCGAAAGCUAGGGGAGCGAACAGGAUUAGAUACCCGGGUAGUC
rnacentral:rRNA from 1 species